GUGGGGAAUAUUGGACAAUGGGCGAAAGCCUGAUCCAGCCAUGCCGCGUGUGUGAAGAAGGUCUUCGGAUUGUAAAGCACUUUAAGUUGGGAGGAAGAGUAGUAACCUAAUACGUUGCUACUUUGACGUUACCGACAGAAUAAGCACCGGCUAACUUCGUGCCAGCAGCCGCGGUAAUACGUAGGGUGCAAGCGUUAAUCGGAAUUACUGGGCGUAAAGCGCGCGUAGGUGGUUUUGUAAGUUGGAGGUGAAAUCCCCGGGCUCAACCUGGGAACUGCCUCCAAAACUGCAUGACUAGAGUACGGUAGAGGGUAGUGGAAUUUCCUGUGUAGCGGUGAAAUGCGUAGAUAUAGGAAGGAACACCAGUGGCGAAGGCGACUACCUGGACUGAUACUGACACUGAGGUGCGAAAGCGUGGGGAGCAAACAGGAUUAGAUACCCCAGUAGUCC
rnacentral:rRNA from 1 species